rnacentral:misc_RNA from 1 species
AACGCACCUUGCGCUCCUUGGUAUUCCGAGGAGCACGCCUGUUCGAGUGUCGUGAAGUUCUCAAGCUUUAGAUGCUUUUUGUUUGACAAAUAUGCUCUCUAAGCUUGGUAUUGGGCUUUGCCGUGUCCCUUCUUGGAACGGCUGGUCUUAAAUGCAUUAGCUUGGCCCCUCAUCUGGCAUUGGUUCUACUCAGUGUGAUAAUAAUCUGACCGCUGAGGACAUCUUUUGGGAUGGCCAAUUCUUGUUGGGGUUGCUUUCUAAUCUGGUUUACUGGAUUCUUGAAAUCCGGUGCCACUUUCAAUUUUGACCUCGAAUCAGGUGGGACUACCCGCUGAACUUAA